CCUCAGACAUUGGCCCCAGUUGGAAGCCCCCACUGAGAUGUAGGUGAAGCUGACUACCUAAAAGCUGACCUGUGGCAUCACCAUGACAACUGACCCAGUGCAGUGGCAAAGAUGACGAAUUUCAUGUUACAAGAGACUCAUUUGAAAGGUCAUGGCAAGCUUAUGCAACAUACAAGUGCACACUAAGCCUGUACAAUAGACUGUGUGAGCUGGAAGGGAAGUGAUCGAGGCGUCUGGGCCCUCUGGGUGGCACUCACACAAACUGCAGAAAAUUGGCCAAAAUCCAGAGCCCUGGCAUUAGUUCCAACUCUAGAAGAAAUAACCACUACAGUUAAAGCCUUGAAAAAUGAUAAAGCAUCUAGAUGUGAUGACGUUCCUGCAGAAACCUACCAACGAGAAGGGGAUCCAAUCCUCUAACAUAAGUUUGAGCUCUUCUUCAACCUAUGGAAUGCUAAAGAAAUGCCACAGGACUUCAAAAAUGCCACCAUAAAUCACCAUCUUCAAGAAAAAAGGGGGAGAGAGCUGAUGAUCAAAACUACUAGGUAAAUAUAACUGCUUUCCAUUGCCUACAAGAACUGUUCCGAACGGACUGCCGAAAAGCAAUCAACUGAACACAACCUAAAUGACAGUGUGGCUGCAGACCCAAAUACAGCACAGAAAAUAGAA